rnacentral:lncRNA from 1 species
CCUCCAUUUUCACUGCACUGGGUAGACCCUAGGGCCCUAGAAUGAGCCAUUUUGGGGUUGAGGUGGUAACUGAGAUUUCCUCUGUGCAAGACAAUCAAGUGCCGACUUCACGUCACGAGCCUUAUUCCAUGAGCCGUUUCUAGAAGGCCAGAGAGGCAAAAUAAUUUCUGUUCUUUUGUUUCGUAAAAUAAAAUAAGUCCAAAAGGCUGUGUGUGUUUAUAUACAUAUAUAUAUUAUACAAAUUAUAUAUAUAGUUAUACAAAUUAUAUAUAAAUAUUUAUAUAAUAUAUAUGUUUACAUUUAUGUGUGUGUGUGUAUAUAUAUAUAUAUACAUACUAUACUUAUUUAUUUUGAGACAGAGAGUGUGAGUGGGGGAGGGGCAAAGAGAGAGGGGCGGGGGGACACAGAAUCUGAAGCAGGCUCUGUGCUAACAGCAAAGAGCACGAUGUGGGGCUUGAACCCACAAACUGUGAGAUGGUGACCUGAGCCGAAGUCAGACGCUUAACCGACGGAGCCACCCAGAUACCUUCAGGAAAUACGUAUUUUUAAAGUCACAAAUGAGUUGUGUUCUCAUGAAUGUGCCUCGAGUCCCCCAUGGGGCUCAGUCUCCUUAUCUGUAAAAUGUGGGGGAUGAUGUUGAACCUCCAUCCCAGCUCUGCUAUCUCAAGGUUCUGUGUUGUCUCAUCCACACACACCAACUCAAACAUAUCUGGUGCUUAAAUCAAAGUUUGAAGUUUGCAGUUUCAGUACUCAGCUUCAAGGCAAUUGCAAAUCACAGAGCAAGAAAUUUAGCAGCCUACUGUGAGGCAUCCAAAGGAGAUACAUCACUUCAGAUUUCUUUUGAGAACCAGGUAAAGAAGCUGAGAAAGAAGAGGACAAACGGAACUGAGCAGGAAACUUGUUCUUGGAGUUAUUUCCCCUAAGAAGAGCCUGCUGUUGAGAAUACAGAGUCGUGUUUGACAACGGAGUCAGCAAAAAGGAAGCAGAGGAAGAGAUGGUGGAGAGAAUCUGGAUCCUGCUGGCAUCAUCAGACCCCUGUGCCCACCUGCACCUUUGGCUGCUUGGUUGUAUAAGCCAAUGCAUUCUGGGUUCUUUUGUUUUGUUUUGUUUUUAAUUUAAGCCCAUUUGCUUCAGGUUUUCUUUUUUUUUUUAAUUUUUUUUAAUGUUUAUUUGUUUUUGAGACAGAGAGAGACAGAGCAUGAACGGGGGAGGGUCAGAGAGAGAGGGAGACACAGAACCUGGAGCAGGCUCCAGGCUCCAAGCUGUCAGCACAGAGCCCGAUGCGGGGCUCGAACUCACGGACUGCGAGAUCAUGACCUGAGCCGAAGUCAGACGCUUAACUGACUGAGCCACCCAGGUGCCCCUUCAGGUGUUCUUUCAAUUCAAACCAAGUGAUGCAACUGAUACAAGUUCUAUGACAUGCAUUUAAA